rnacentral:rRNA from 1 species
UGGUGGAGUGAUUUGUCUGGUUUAUUCCGUUAACGAACGAGACCUCGACCUGCUAAAUAGUACAACGUAAGCUUUGCUUAUGUAUGCACUUCUUAGAGGGACUGUCGGUUUCAAGCCGAAGGAAGUUCGAGGCAAUAACA